UACGGAGGAUGCAAGCGUUAUCCGGAAUGGUUGGGCGUAAAGGGUCCGCAGGUGGCAGUGUAAGUCUGCUGUCAAAGAAUGAGGCUUAACCUUAUCAAGGCAGUGGAAACUACACAGCUAGAGUACGGUCGGGGUAGAAGGAAUUCCUGGUGUAGCGGUGAAAUGCGUAGAGAUCAGGAAGAACACCGGUGGCGAAAGCGUUCUGCUAGACCUGUACUGACACUGAGGGACGAAAGCUAGGGGAGCGAAUGGG
rnacentral:rRNA from 1 species